rnacentral:rRNA from 1 species
GGCACCUGCACAGGUGCUGCAUGGCUGUCGUCAGCUUGUGUCGUGAGAUGUUGGGGUUAAGUCCCGCAACGAGCGCAACCCUUAUCCCCAGUUGCCAUCAGGUAAAGCUGGGAACUCUGGGGAGACUGCCGGUGAUAAACCGGAGGAAGGCGGGGAUGACGUCAAGUCCUCAUGGCCCUUACAUCCCGGGCUACACACGUGCUACAAUGGCAGGUACAGAGGGCUGCGAAGCCGCGAGGUGGAGCGAAUCCCAGAAAACCUGUCUCAGUCCGGAUUGAAGUCUGCAACUCGACUUCAUGAAGGCGGAAUCGCUAGUAACCGCGAAUCAGCAGGUCGCGGUGAAUACGUUCCCGGGCCUU